AGUUCAAGAGUACGUGAAACCGUUUAGGGGUAAACCUGAGAAACCCGAAAGGUCGAAGGGAGAAAUUCAUUCGCGUCUCGACGUAGGCGUCGGACGGGGCCCCUCGAGCGACGGAACGCUCGCCGUCCCUCGGGACGGCUGAGAGAGUUCUCGCGCCCUCCGUCCGACGAACCGACUGCGAACGCGUGCACUUUUCUCCUGGUAGGACGUCGCGAUCCGUCGGGCGUCGGUCUACGACUUGCGGUGGAGCCCGUACGUCGCGUCUUCGCGGACGCGCGGACGGACCCGCUCGUUCCGGCCGACUCGCUCGACGGUAUGCCAUAAGGUCUAAGGUCGCUCGAUAAAAAAUUUUUUUUCAUCAAGGAGCGUCCGACUCGUCGCAAGCGCGCCACGUGCGUCGGACCCCGGACCCAGUGCCGCGUCCGACCUCUGGCGACUGUUGGCGACGAAGUUCUCGGACCGACCUCUAUCACCGUCGCCGCGUACGUAUCCGGUCCUUCGCAAGGAGUUCUUCGAUGCGUGCGUGCGCGCGCGCGUGUGUCCAAGACCGAUCUGCGACGCUAUAGCUUUGGGUACUUUCAGGACCCGUCUUGAAACA
rnacentral:rRNA from 1 species